rnacentral:rRNA from 3 species
CACCGGCAGCUCUAGUGGUAGCUGUUUUUAUUGGGCCUAAAGCGUUCGUAGCCGGUUUGAUAAGUCACUGGUGAAAUCCUGUAGCUUAACUGUGGGAAUUGCUGGUGAUACUGUUGAACUUGAGGUCGGGAGAGGUUAGCGGUACUCCCAGGGUAGAGGUGAAAUUCUGUAAUCCUGGGAGGACCACCUGUGGCGAAGGCGGCUAACUGGAACGAACCUGACGGUGAGGGACGAAAGCUAGGGGCGCGAACCGG